UCUCUCUCUCUCUCUCUCUCUCUCUCUCUCUCUCUCUCUCUCUCUCUCUCUCUUUCUCUCUCUCUAUCUCUCUCUAUCUCUAUCUCUUGUCACGAUCUCUUUAUAAAUGCAUAUACAUACAUACAUAGCGCCAAUUUAUAUGUUUUGUCGUCACUGUCGCUUUUCGAUUCGUUCGUUGAAAAGGAACGUGCUUAAGCGAUCUGUGACUGAACAAUACUAUAUACUGAAGCCUCGAUUAUGCGAACUAAUUGGGUAAUGUUGCACUUUCGCGUUCGAACCGAUUUGAAAUUUAAUGCGAGAAAGAAUAUGCAGAAUCAUUGAAUUUUUUGUAUUUUUUGCACUCGUUUAACUUUUGCGUUUUCCAUGUCUUUUCUUUUUUCUUUAAAUAAAAAAAGUAUUUGAUACAAAAAUGAAGAAAGAAAAGGAAGGAAGAAAGGAAGAAAGAAAGAAACGACAAUGACAAUAACAAACGAGUGAACAAACGUAAAUACAAGGAAAAGUAUAAAUCUUUGUAAUUAAUUUUCUUACGAUGUAACCAAUUUUGCGAGAAUCAUGCAUUUAUUAUUUCACGGCGAUACGAGCCGUACGAUUUUGAUUAUUUUAUGUUAUUUUUUAUAAAAGCUUACGUUAUGUCUUUCUUUUGUUUUUCAACGCGUGUUAUAAAUGAACGUAUACGUGCAUACAAGGAAAAAAAUUUUCAAAAGACGAACAAAGGAAAGAAAGAUAAGAUAAAAAGAAAGAAAAAAUAAAGUAUAAAGACAUAUAAAUUUAUUUCGCAAAAGAAUUUUGUUCACUGCCGCUUAACACUGUCCACACAAUCGAUUAGCUGUGAAGUUCAUACAGAUAGUCGGGGUUUCACUAACUGUUCUUUAACUUCGAGCACACCUACUAUUUUAUUUAUAUCGAUGACAAGCGCAUUUUAAAGCACUUUCGUCGUUGUUUAUAAAUAAAGGAAAAGAAAAGGAACAAACAAAAAAAAAAAGAAAAAAGAAGAAGAAGCUAAAAAAUACACCGAUUCACGAUAAAUUUAGGAACACACGUAAAAAAGAAAAUUCUUCGAUCCUUCGUGAUCCUUCGAUCACCAUAAUGACCAAAUGCACCGUGUAAGAUUAAAUGUAUUUUUCACGCUAUUAAAUUAUAUUCAAAUUAACAUGAUAAUUAAUCGAAACUAUUUUGUUUUUCCCUUAAGAAAAAUUUCUUUAUUUAUCGGAUUUUUUUAUUUUCUUUAAUUGGUCUUCCAAUUGAUAGUAGUUCAGUCUGUCUUAAAUUUUUUUCUCUUUUCUUUUCUUUUUCUUUUUCGUUUACUUCGUAAUCUACAACUGAAGCUUCAAAAUUGUACUUGCUUUCUCUUCAAUACGUCAAUUCUCAAAAAUGUAUCAUUUGUUAUCACUAAUUAUUAUAGAGUCUGUGACCCUCGGUACCAUUGCUUUCGAGCAAUUACGGUAUUAAUUAAACAAAAACAAAAAAAAAAAGAGUGAACUUAAAUCAAGUGGAACAUCUUCAAAGUCACGAACGAAUAUAGCUUUAUAUAUAUAUAUAUAUAUUUAUAUAUAUAUAUAUAUAUAUAUAUAUAUACAGACAAAAACAUAUACACAUAUAUAUAUGUGUGUAACAUAGAGUUCUAUAUAAAGUCUAUAUAAUUUGACGAUUGCAUUAAUUUUUACAAAUUUACAUCGAUUUCGAACGCGAAUAUUCGUAUACUCUUGAGAACAAUGGAAAUGAAAACAUUAAGAGCGACGAUAUGAUCUCUAAUAUAUGUUUUGUAUAUAUUUACCUAAUCCAUUAUGUAAAAUAAAACCCAAGAAAAAAAUCAUUCGCCAUUUUUGAAUAAAUCUAUAGAGUGUUGAAUAAUAAUAAUAAUAAUAAUAAUAAUAAUAAUAAUAAUAAUAAUAAUUAAUACAUUGUUGUCUAAAGUUUAUUUACUUUAAUAUGCCGAUCGCAUCUCUUUUCUUUUCAUACUCGAUGAAUCCUAUUAGUCAUCACUGUUCAAUCGAUUUAAUCGAACAAUUUAAAAAAGGUUCGUCUCACGUGUUUACCUUACAAUAUAUAUUGUCUUAUGCACUUUUAUGUUAGCGUUACGCUUCUUUGCCCGCGAAGAAGCAUGGACACGUAACCUUCAUCCUUAGACUCGUUAUGAAAAAAAAUUUGUCGUAAAGCCUUAUUGACGUUUCGAUUAAAGUAUAUAAGUCCAAAGGUUAAGGUAAAACAUAAACCAUUUAGUAUCAUAUUUCUAUCUAACGUAGCGCACUUAAUUAUUCAAGUUAAUGAGUUACCAAGAACAGAAUUUCUUCUUCAUUUAUAUAUAUAUAUAUAUAUAUAUAUAUAUAUAUAUAUAUAUAUAUAUAUAAAAUAAAAAAAUAAAAGGAAAUAAAAAAAAAUAAAAGAAAAAAAUAAUUUCACUCCUUUAUAUGGAUGACUAUGUUCCUCAUAGUUUUUAAUAAUCCCAUUGCUAGUACUCUACUUUCAAGACUCGUUUAAAAAUUCUCUUUCUUUCUUUUCC